CGUUAUCUCAGAUGGUGCCUCAACUAACAGAAAGUUUUGGAAAGAAAUGGGAGUUUCUGGAAAAUUGUCAGAGUUAAAAUGGUCUUUUAAUCAUCCAACUGAUGAAAAGCGUAAGAUUUUAAUGUUUUCUGACACGCCGCAUUUGAUGAAAAAUGUGAGAAAUCGCAUGUACGGAAAAACGGAAAUGGAGAACUUAAGGUGCAUCCAGAUCAAGAAAUUAUCAAAUGGAAACACAUUGAAUUGCUGUUAGAUGCAGAUAGGAAAAAUCAAACUGCACGAAAGUGUCCAAAUCUCACUGAACAACAUGUCUAGAAGUUGGCAAGUUAUUCUAAAAUGCGAGUGCUUCUUGCUCUUCAGAUAAUUAGCCAUUCAGUAGCAGAAGGUCUAAGAUAUUAUAAGAGCCGAAUUGACGAAC